GGGAACGUACCCUUCGGUUCGGAAUAACUCAGGGAAACUUGAGCUAAUACCGGAUACGCCCUUUUGGGGAAAGGUUUACUGCCGAAGGAUCGGCCCGCGUCUGAUUAGCUUGUUGGUGGGGUAACGGCCUACCAAGGCGACGAUCAGUAGCUGGUCUGAGAGGAUGAUCAGCCACACUGGGACUGAGACACGGCCCAGACUCCUACGGGAGGCAGCAGUGGGGAAUAUUGGACAAUGGGCGCAAGCCUGAUCCAGCCAUGCCGCGUGAGUGAUGAAGGCCUUAGGGUUGUAAAGCUCUUUUGUCCGGGACGAUAAUGACGGUACCGGAAGAAUGAGCCCCGGCUAAUUUCGUGCCAGCAGCCGCGGUAAUACGAAGGGGGCUAGCGUUGCUCGGAAUCACUGGGCGUAAAGGGCGCGUAGGCGGCCGAUUAAGUCGGGGGUGAAAGCCUGUGGCUCAACCACAGAAUUGCCUUCGAUACUGGUUGGCUUGAGACCGGAAGAGGACAGCGGAACUGCGAGU
rnacentral:rRNA from 1 species